AUCACGCCCAAGAUCUUUGAUGUGAGUUUCAAAAAAUAUCUAGUCAAGGAUUUCUUCCUCACACGAUUUCAAACUGGAUCGAAAAUCUCACGUUCGUCGCCCUUGUGAUGGCUAUGGCCAAGGGAGCGCAGGUGGCAUCUGAACACUUGCGUAAGAAAGAGAAAAAUAGCACUGAAAUUUGUAGAGAUGUUUAUUAAAAUUGAUUUUGUGGGACGUCUAAGUGGUUGUAUGUUUGGUCACUGGAGCAAAAGAGCUUCAAUCACCACCAGUUCCAUGAUCGCAUAGAGGUAUUGCAUGAACAAUUAUAAGAGUCCCUCUUGAGAACUCCAUUCAGAAUGAUAUUGUGAAGUCUCUCAUCACUCGGGGG
rnacentral:sRNA from 1 species